rnacentral:rRNA from 1 species
AUGGCGACCGGCGCACGGGUGAGUAACACGUAUCCAACCUGCCGUCUACUCUUGGACAGCCUUCUGAAAGGAAGAUUAAUACAAGAUGGCAUCAUGAGUUCACAUGUUCACAUGAUUAAAGGUAUUCCGGUAGACGAUGGGGAUGCGUUCCAUUAGAUAGUAGGCGGGGUAACGGCCCACCUAGUCUUCGAUGGAUAGGGGUUCUGAGAGGAAGGUCCCCCACAUUGGAACUGAGACACGGUCCAAACUCCUACGGGAGGCAGCAGUGAGGAAUAUUGGUCAAUGGGCGCAGGCCUGAACCAGCCAAGUAGCGUGAAGGAUGACUGCCCUAUGGGUUGUAAACUUCUUUUAUAAAGGAAUAAAGUCGGGUAUGUAUACCCGUUUGCAUGUACUUUAUGAAUAAGGAUCGGCUAACUCCGUGCCAGCAGCCGCGGUAAUACGGAGGAUCCGAGCGUUAUCCGGAUUUAUUGGGUUUAAAGGGAGCGUAGAUGGAUGUUUAAGUCAGUUGUGAAAGUUUGCGGCUCAACCGUAAAAUUGCAGUUGAUACUGGAUAUCUUGAGUGCAGUUGAGGCAGGCGGAAUUCGUGGUGUAGCGGUGAAAUGCUUAGAUAUCACGAAGACUCCGAUUGCGAAGGCAGCCUGCUAAGCUGCAACUGACAU